rnacentral:rRNA from 1 species
CCUUUCCUACGGGGGGCAGCAGUAGGGAAUUUUCGUCAAUGGGCGCAAGCCUGAACGAGCGAUGCCGCGUGAGUGAAGAAGGCCUUCGGGUCGUAAAGCUCUGUUGCGGGGGAAAAAAGGCAGCAUCAGGAAAUGGGUGCUGACUGAUGGUGCCCCGCCAGAAAGUCACGGCUAACUACGUGCCAGCAGCCGCGGUAAUACGUAGGUGGCGAGCGUUAUCCGGAAUGAUUGUGCGUAAAGGGUGCGCAGGCGGUCCUGCAAGUCUGGAGUGAAACGCAUGAGCUCAACUCCUGCAUGUCUUUGAG